rnacentral:rRNA from 1 species
GAGAGUUCAAGAGUACGUGAAACCGUUCAGGGGUAAACGGGAGAAAUCCUGAAUUCGAAAGGGAUCGGAUUCCAGUCCAUCCGGGCCAUCGAGCCAUGCCUCCGUCAGAUGGUGUCGGUCGCCCGCGGCGAUUCAUUUCGCUUGCGGUGUCGUUCCCGGCUAUCACUCGUCGGGGGUAGGUCUCUGGUCCGGGGGACCGCACUUCCCCCCUAGUAGAAACGUCGCGACCCGUUGGGUGCCGGUCUAAGGCCCGGGAAGAUUGACCAUGCGUUCCGCGGGGGCUCUCGCGGGCGUGCGGACUCCUGGUGUACCCGGCCGGCUGCCCGACGGUAUGAUCAGAGGAGGCGAUCCGCUUAUCUGGAAAACACUUUGGAUGUGUAGCGUCCGGCCGGCGGCGAAUGGCUGGGGGGGACUCACAGGCGCAAGCCCUCGGGUGUCCGUGCUCGUCACGGCCCUGCCCUUCAUGCGUCUUCGUCCGUCUUUGGUUACCUCGGACAGGAUCGAUACUCCCGUCGGCGACGCCCACCUUCGGAUGGUCUCCCGACCC